UUUAAACUAGGUUCACCGGGGGAAGAAGACCAAAGCCCUGAGUUCAAAACUCUGGGCCCCAGUCUCUGAACCCUUCAUUAAGAGCAGCAAUUCUCUUACUACAUCACUGUGCUGGAAGCCUCAAAUGACUGUCUCCACAAUGGAGAAACUGAGACACAGAGUUAUGAAGUGACUUGCCCAAGGACACCCAGAAGGCUAAUUGCAGAACCAGGAAUAGAAUCCAGAUCUUCUGAGUCCAACUGCUACUCUAUCUAUGAGGUUACACUGCCAAACUCAUUUGUGACCCCUCAUCUCUCCCUUCCCCUAAGGCAAGGCUGAGUGGUUACAAAUAGAGGGGGAGGAGCACUAAAAUCUUUCUGGGAUGAGUUAUACAAAUUUACACUGUAAAUAAGUAGUAUAAAAAUACAGUAUUGGAAAAAUCUGUACAAGCCCUAAGCCCUGACAUUUUGUCACAAAGUGAUGAAAUUCCAUGGAAGAGCCAUCACAGACCUGGUGCUUUUUUGAGACCACUUUAAGCCCUACAAAAAGACAGCAAGCUCUACAAACAUAUCUAUUUCUAUCUCAGAAAUGAGCUGCAAAACAAAUGGCUCACGUAUGUCAUGAGGGAGACUGACUCAUCUAAUGACCGCCGAGAGCGCUCUUCCUGGGUGUACUUGCAAGACCAGUGCUCCCCCCUUCAACUUUGCUUUGUGAUUCUGAAAGUCUCUUAACUAUUAUUCAUGUUUGGAUUGGAAAUCCUAAAUAGCAUCACUAAUAUUUCUAAUAUCUGUGACACUUGGGGAAUAAUACUCAAUUCUAUUUCCAUCCCUAAGAAUUGUUUUAAAUUGAAAUUGGAACUUGAA